rnacentral:rRNA from 1 species
AUUGAACGCUGGCGGCGUGCCUAACACAUGCAAGUCGAGCGGUAACAGGUGUAGCAAUACAUGCUGACGAGCGGCGAACGGGUGAGUAAUGCUUCGGAAUCUACCUUAUGGUGGGGAAUAACUAGCCGAAAGGUUAGCUAAUACCGCAUACGUCCUACGGGAGAAAGCAGGGGAUCGCAAGACCUUGCGCCAAAAGAUGAUCCGAAGUCGGAUUAGCUAGUUGGUAGGGUAACGGCCUACCAAGGCGACGAUCAGUAGCUGGUCUGAGAGGACGACCAGCCACACUGGGACUGAGACACGGCCCAGACUCCUACGGGAGGCAGCAGUGGGGAAUAUUGGACAAUGGGGGAAACCCUGAUCCAGCGACGCCGCGUGUGUGAAGAAGGCCUGCGGGUUGUAAAGCACUUUUAGUGGGGAUGAAAUGUGCAGGGUUAAUACCUCUGCAUUUUGACCUAACCCACAGAAAAAGCACCGGCUAACUCUGUGCCAGCCGCCGCAGUAA